UGCCACCAGAAACGUUGCCAGUGUACCUAUGAACAUAACAGGUUCCUUGGACCUUAAGAAGUUACGGUAACGUUAUGCUCUGUAAGAGCACAUCUUGGGCAAGUCAGGACUCAGGAGCAAUACAAUAAGUCUUACUAUUAUAAUUGGAAGGGUUUCUUUGAUGAACAAUUUGUUUGAUGACAUCUAUGGUCUCAUGCAGUCAAGAAAAAAAUCGAUUUGCAUGGGGAGAUUCAAGAUAAACGCGGGAAGAGUCAUCUAUCCUUCACGCCUGCCUGAACUCACAUGAUAAUUCCAGGUUGGAUGGUGUCCUCAGGUCUCUGCUGAUCGUUUGCCAGAGCACCAUCUGUAUAGCUUGGAAAAAGGAAUCCUUGUCAGCAGUAACCCCUCCAGGACCUGAGCCCUAGGACCAUGCCCCAGGACUACCUGACAUGAUGACUCCUUGCUGUCCCCAGUCCACCUGGCCUUGCUGCUGCUCCAGUUUCAACUGACCUGAGCCCUAGGAGCAUGCCCCAGGACUACCUGACAU